AUUCUUGUCAAGUUCGAGGCCCUCUUCAACGUGGUAUAAUUAAUUGAGCGAGAAAGUUUCAUUUGUGGCAAGUCAAAAAUUGAAGAAAAGAUUUUGGAAGAAACGGGAUUUGAAUUUGAGUGAGCGUAAGAAGCGGAUAAGGUAUAGAUGUUCUGGAUCCAUCAGCG